GGAGAAGGGGAGUUAACAAAAGUGAAGACACUGACCAUCUUUUGAUUUUCAGCAGCUACAUGGCCACUGCCAGAAAGAGGUCGCACCUCUGCUAAAUUAUUUCUGAUACAUGCAUGAGGAUCUGAGUGCAGUCUCCAGAGAACAUGUAAAAAGUCAUGGGACUGUGUUCCAAGCUAAUCAUCCUGGUGCCUGUGAAAUGGAGAAGAAAGAAACCCUGUGGCUUGACAGAGCCCCAGUCUACCUAAAUUGGAGACUGGAGACUUGACGGAGAAGUUAAGCACAUGUACUACUUCUGAAGAAGACACAUGUUAGAUUCAAAGAACAAGAUGACUCAUAAUCACUGGUAAUUUCAGUUUCAGGGACCCAAUACCCUUCGUUUUCUAGCCUCCACAGGCAACCCUAUGCAGGCAAAUAUUCACACAUAAUUUAAUAAAGAAACAGCCCCAUACACACAUGUUUACAAUUUAAAUUAUUUUC
ensembl:lncRNA